rnacentral:rRNA from 1 species
CCUACGGGAGGCAGCAGUGGGGAAUAUUGCGCAAUGGGCGAAAGCCUGACGCAGCAACGCCGCGUGCGGGAUGACGGCCUUCGGGUUGUAAACCGCUUUCAGCAGGGACGCGGUACCUGCAGAAGAAGCACCGGCUAACUACGUGCCAGCAGCCGCGGUGAUACGUAGGGUGCGAGCGUUGUCCGGAAUUAUUGGGCGUAAAGAGCUUGUAGGCGGUUUGUUGCGUCGGAAGUGAAAACUCAGGGCUUAACCCUGAGCCUGCUUUCGAUACGGGCAGACUUGAGGGAUGUAGGGGAGAACGGAAUUCCUGGUGGAGCGGUGGAAUGCGCAGAUAUCAGGAGGAACACCGGUGGCGAAGGCGGUUCUCUGAAUUUCCUGACGCUGAGAAGCGAAAGCGUGGGGAGCAAACAGGCUUAGAUACCCUUGUAGUC